GAUGAAGAAACGCAGUGAAAUGCGAUAAGUAAUGUGAAUUGCAGAAUUCAGUGAAUCAUCGAAUCUUUGAACGCACAUUGCGCCCGCCAGUAUUCUGGCGGGCAUGCCUGUUCGAGCGUCAUUUCAACCCUCAAGCCCAGCUUGGUGUUGGGGAUCGGCACAGGCGCCCUCGGGCGCCCGCCGUCCCCUAAAUCUAGUGGCGGUCCCGCUGCAGCCUCCUCUGCGUAGUAGUUUUCUCCUCGCAAGGGCAGCUCGGUGGCGACCUCGCCGUAAAACCCCCAACUUCUGAAAGGUUGACCUCGAAUCAGGUAGGAAUACCCGCUGAACUUAAGCAUAUCAAUAAGCGGAGGA
rnacentral:misc_RNA from 1 species